rnacentral:rRNA from 1 species
CCUACGGGGGGCAGCAGUGAGGAAUAUUGGUCAAUGGGCGAGAGCCUGAACCAGCCAAGUCGCGUGAAGGAUGACGGCCCUACGGGUUGUAAACUUCUUUUGUCAGGGAGCAAGUGGGUCCACGCGUGGGCUUAGCGAGAGGACCUGAAGAAAAAGCAGCGGCGAACUCCGUGCCAGCAGCCGCGGUAAUACGGAGGAUGCGAGCGUGAGCCGGAUUUAUUGGGUUGAAAGGGUGCGUAGGCGGAAUAUCAAGUCAGCGGUAAAAAUUCGGGUCUCAACCCCGUCGUGCCGUUGAAACUGCUGUUCUUGAGUGGGCGAGACUUAUGCGGAAUGCGUGGUGUAGCGGUGAAAUGCAUAGAUAUCACGCAGAACUCCGAUUGCGAAGGCAGCUUACCGGCGCCCAACUGACGCUGCCGCACGAAAGCGUGGGUAUCGAACAGGAUUAGAUACCCCUGUAGUC